GACGAACGCUGGCGGCGUGCCUAACACAUGCAAGUCGAGCGAUGAAGUUUCUUUCGGGAAAUGGAUUAGCGGCGGACGGGUGAGUAACACGUGGGUAACCUGCCUCAUAGAGGGGAAUAGCCUCCCGAAAGGGAGAUUAAUACCGCAUAAUAUUACAGUUUCGCAUGAAUCAGUAAUUAAAGGAGUAAUCCGCUAUGAGAUGGACCCGCGGCGCAUUAGCUAGUUGGUGAGGUAACGGCUCACCAAGGCGACGAUGCGUAGCCGGCCUGAGAGGGCGAACGGCCACAUUGGAACUGAGAGACGGUCCAGACUCCUACGGGAGGCAGCAGUGGGGAAUAUUGCACAAUGGGGGAAACCCUGAUGCAGCAACGCCGCGUGAAGGAAGAAGGCCUUCGGGUUGUAAACUUCUGUUAAUGGGGACGAUAAUGACGGUACCCAUAGAGGAAGCCACGGCUAACUACGUGCCAGCCGCCGCAGUAACAC
rnacentral:rRNA from 1 species